GAAUUUUGCGCAAUGGGCGAAAGCCUGACGCAGCAACGCCGCGUGGAGGAUGAAGGUCUUUGGAUUGUAAACUCCUGUCAGCAGGGAAAAAGGGGUCUGGCCACACCAGAUCAUUGAUUGUACCUGCAGAGGAAGCCCCGGCUAACUCUGUUCCAGCAGCCGCGGUAAUACAGAGGGGGCAAGCGUUAUUCGGAAUUAUUGGGCGUAAAGGGCGCGUAGGCGGCUUGGCAAGUGGAAGGUGAAAUCCCUCGGCUCAACCGAGGAACUGCCUUCUAAACUGCUUUGAUUGAGUCCGGGAGAGGUCAGUGGAAUUCCCAGUGUAGCGGUGAAAUGCGUAGAUAUUGGGAGGAACACCAGUGGCGAAGGCGGCUGACUGGACCGGUACUGACGCUGAGGCGCGAAAGCGUGGGGAGCAAAC
rnacentral:rRNA from 1 species